rnacentral:rRNA from 1 species
AUUGAACGCCGGCGGCAGGCCUAACACAUGCAAGUCGAGCGGUAGAGAGAAGCUUGCUUCUCUUGAGAGCGGCGGACGGGUGAGUAAUGCCUAGGAAUCUGCCUGGUAGUGGGGGAUAACGUUCGGAAACGGACGCUAAUACCGCAUACGUCCUACGGGAGAAAGCAGGGGACCUUAGGGCCUUGCGCUAUCAGAUGAGCCUAGGUCGGAUUAGCUAGUUGGUGAGGUAAUGGCUCACCAAGGCGACGAUACGUAACUGGUCUGAGAGGAUGAGCAGGCACACUGGAACUGAGACACGGUCCAGACUCCUACGGGAGGCAGCAGUGGGGAAUAUUGGACAAUGGGCGAAGGCCUGAUCCAGCCAUGCCGCGUGUGUGAAGAAGGUCUUCGCAUUGUAAAGCACUUUAAGUUGGGAGGAAGGGUUGUAGAUUAAUACUCUGCAAUUUUGACGUUACCGACAGAAUAAGCACCGGCUAACUCUGUGCCAGCAGCCGCGGUAA